GUGGGGAAUAUUGGACAAUGGGCGAAAGCCUGAUCCAGCAAUGCCGCGUGAGUGAUGAAGGCCCUAGGGUUGUAAAGCUCUUUUACCCGGGAUGAUAAUGACAGUACCGGGAGAAUAAGCUCCGGCUAACUCCGUGCCAGCAGCCGCGGUAAUACGGAGGGAGCUAGCGUUGUUCGGAAUUACUGGGCGUAAAGCGCGCGUAGGCGGUUUUUUAAGUCAGAGGUGAAAGCCCGGGGCUCAACCCCGGAAUUGCCUUUGAAACUGGAAAACUUGAAUCUUGGAGAGGUCAGUGGAAUUCCGAGUGUAGAGGUGAAAUUCGUAGAUAUUCGGAAGAACACCAGUGGCGAAGGCGACUGACUGGACUAGUAUUGACGCUGAGGUGCGAAAGCGUGGGGAGCAAACAGGAUUAGAAACCCCGGUAGUCC
rnacentral:rRNA from 1 species